rnacentral:rRNA from 1 species
UACGGAGGGGGCUAGCGGUGUUCGGAAUUACUGGGCGUAAAGCGCACGUAGGCGGCUUUGUAAGUUAGAGGUGAAAGCCCGGGGCUCAACUCCGGAAUUGCCUUUAAGACUGCAUCGCUAGAAUUGUGGAGAGGUAAGUGGAAUUCCGAGUGUAGAGGUGAAAUUCGUAGAUAUUCGGAAGAACACCAGUGGCGAAGGCGACUUACUGGACACAUAUUGACGCUGAGGUGCGAAAGCGUGGGGAUCAAACAGG